rnacentral:misc_RNA from 1 species
GUCGCCUCUUGGCCUUGACUCGAUUCUUCGGAUUCUUUCCCGGUGUUCCUUUCCACUGGGUAUCUAGAAGUAUAAGCCGCUCAGCAGAUAUCCUUGGUUCAAUGCCUGCGCUACAAUGUCUUGCCAUUGCUCUGUUAUCUUCUGACUGUCUACUAAAUGGUGGCAACAUUCCUGCAUUCUAGCAUAGUAUAAUUAUCUAUUGGAAGUGGCAAACCUCAUAACAAGUAAUAUAUGAACUCCAACUAGCAAUAGCAAGCAAGCAAGUAAGUAGAUGCUACACUAACGGCACACAUUUAUUCCAUGCGCACAAAUAGUAUUUUGGUAUCAAUACUAAUCCAUAAAGGACAUCUUAUUACCCCUCUUUCUAGACUGCUGUCAGAUGAAUGGGUAAAGCUGCUCACUAAAACCACUUGAAAUUGGUUUAACCCUCAAUAUAGGCAGCAUAUCUAGAUACUUGCAUAAAAUAAAUAACAUUGCCACUUAAUUAAUCAUGAAAAUUCACCUUCUAAUGAGAAUGAAGCUUAAUAUAUGAAAUUCUUCUAACUGAAGCAAAAUAAUAUCUUAUGACGUACAAAAAGGUAAUACAUUCAGGAAAAAUUAAUAAAAUCCAAAGUUAAAAUUGUGGAAGAAAGAUAACUAAAAGAAAUAAAAAGAUGUGUUUAAGUUAAAAACUCUAAUUAAAGAACACAAACAAUAAAGAAAAUGAACAAGGAAACAGAAUUUUAUAAAUUAAUUAUCUCCCUCUAAGUUAGUAGGCGAUUGAAUAUUCGAAUUACACACCUAAAGCUUGCAAAACUUAAAAUAUACUCAAGUUACUCAUAUUAAGCUAUAUAAAGGACUCACCGGGUGAACCCGCAUCAAAACCAUAUAGCUCAUUCAUGAUGGUGGACUUGCCAACUCCAGGUGGCCCAAUUACCCCUAUCACAGUGAAAUCUGUAUUCUCAGUCAGAAAAGGGAGAAAGCGAUCAAUGUGGAAUUCCCAGGAAUCAGAGAGGAGAUUGAGAGACCCAAUUGCAGGCAGACGAGACCGAUGUGGCACCGUUUCGUCUUCAGCACCGCCGCGUCCAAAUUUACCGACCACAGGUCCAGUGGUAACCAGUCCGGGCUUAGCCAAUAGAAUUUUAGGAGCCGGAGGGGCCGGUGAGGGACUGGAAGAACCGGUGCCACCAGUAGAACCUGCCAUUGAAUUAGUAUUUGAAGUUCGAUUUUCAGUUGCUGAAACCUAGUUUCGUUUCCCCCGUUUUAGUUAUUUUGCAGCCAUGAGGACUGAGGAGACGCUCCGAAGAUCUUUCAUCU